AUCAGCAUCCCCAGAACACAUCUGUAUUAAGUCACAGACCUUGGACCCGGUGGUCAUCUUCUUCAUCAGUGGGACCACAGGCCUCCCCAGGAUGGUGAAAUACAGCCAUGGGCUUACCUUACUAUCCUCUUUCCCUUCAUGGUAGGAAAGAAGGUACUGACAUAAAGUGCUGGGAUUACAGCACUGGGAAAUAAGCAUUUCAAACACACGAAAUGUAACUGAGGAAAAGUUAAAGAAUAUCUAGAUUAAUGGAGAAAUAGAUCAUGUUCACGGAUUGGAAGAGUCAGUAUUUUAAUGCCAAAUCUCCCUGAUUUGAUGUACAGAUUCAGUGGAAUAUCACUCAAAAAUCCCAGCAUUUUUGUGCACAUUGAAAAUGAUUCUCCAGUGGACACAGAAAAUCAAAGACCCCUGAGCAGCCAAAGCAACCCUAAAGAGAAGAACCCAGCUGGGGGAUUUCACUGCCAGACAGCAGAACUUGUUUUAAAGCUGAGGCAACUUAAGAUGCUGAAGGUCCGCACAGGGACAUAUUCUCAGACCAGUGAAGCAAACAGGAGUCCCAGACAGACACGAAGAUGUGGUCCCACCUGACAGGAGGUGCAGCUCGAGGAGUGCAUGGCUUUCAGUAAAGGGCGCUGGGCCAACUGCAUAUCCACAGAGAAAAAAUUAUCCGACUCCACACCUCAGCCCUGAUGCAGAUGAAUCAGAGAAGGAUCCGGGAUCAAAAUGUAAACGCGAAAGCAAAAAUGUCUGGAAUUUAAAAACAGAAAGCAUUUCUGCAGAGCCGGUGAGAGGCGGGUGGGCUGGGCCUGGACUGCCUGGCCUCCUUCCGUGCGGAGGCGAACCCAGAAGCCCCGCCGGAGCCGCGCGCCCUCAAGCGGCCCUGAAGCUGAAGAGGGGCGCUGAGCCUCUCCCCACCUCCUGGACCUGGCGGCGGCCUCUCCCAGCCUGGACCCCACCGGCCACCGGUGGCGGCCCAACCCUGCUAGGCCUGCUCCCCACCAAGCCCGGAAGCCUUCUGGCUGUGGAGGGCCGGAAGCGCGGCGCCUCGAGGCCUUCCGGCUGUGAAGGACAGGAAUCGUGGAACCCAGGACCACAGGACUGUGGAAGGAGUGUCAGCCAUGAACCUUGUGAUGGGUGUAUCACUUCUCCCCUAUGAAAGCCACAGAAACCAGGGAAGGAGAGACCCUCAAAAGAACUUGACCUGGCAGACCGCGCCCUCCCUAAGGCUGCUUCAACCACAGAGUCCCUGGGGUUGCUCCAUGAGGAAGCAGGACACAGGACAGGAAGCUAUAAGACCUUCCCACUGCUAUCCCUGCCCUCGCGAAUGGCCUUUGCACAGCCUGGGUGCUGUUUGCCAAUAAAACGAAGUGAAAACAACAUUUCAAAGCUAGCCCAGCCUUUGUGGCUGGCAGAUCCUUUUUGGCAGACAUUGGCAGGAUUUUGUCAGAAAGACCUUGCAGUUCCACACAGGCACAAGGAAAGUUCAAGGAGAGCAAAAGGCUCCCCACAGCCUGUUGCAGAGAUGGCCUGAAAGGCACUUGGGCUGUGUGAGCCCUGUGGGAGUAACCACUGAGCACUGGACCGGACCCAGAGGUCUGGACAGCUGAGGUUGAAGAGACAGGGAGAAGGCUAUGGCUCCAGUCAGCCUGUCCUAGAGGGUGGCUCACUGAUUCGGAGCAGCAAGCCUGGGGGCAGGGGGGACAUGGGAGUGAAUGCACACACCAGGUAGAGGAAUCUUAAUAGGGUUACUCCAGCUUUUGGGGUGGGACUUUUGCUGAAUUGACCAAUUGGUUGCCAUCCCUGGCCUGGGAAAACUAAAUCCCAGGUGCACUCCUCAGGCACUGGGACAGCCCACAAGCCCAGGGCUGGGGAGCAGAAGGCAGUUUAUGGUGCUAUUGACCACCCAGUUUCAAAGGGGUGUUCCAUAGAGCUGCCCAGCCUGCUCUCACCAUUCCUUCACUGGACUCCACCUCCCUAGCACUGGCUGCUCUAGUGCUCACAACUACAGGAGGGACAGGUGAGCUUGAAGGGAGUUUGAAAACAAAAAUGCAAGCAAUGGAAGGUCUUCCAGCUCAGCUCCAGUAAUGGGGGCAGUCCAGAGGGAAACUGAUGAAGGCACAGUGGCCAAACCCAGCACCCAAGGCCAGGACAACAACGUGUUGUUGAUGAAGAUGAGAAAGGAGGGGCAAUGUCCAUCUACAUCCCUGGUACCCCUAGCAAGGACUUGCAAAAGCAGAAAGAGGUGCACUGCCAGGGGUAAGGCCUUAAACUCAAGACCACCUGGACACGUAAGCCCACGUCAAGGUAUAGACAAAGUGCACUGAGAAUCCAGGUGCUUCAGAUGAAAUCAUCAUCUCAAGAACAGGACUCUGAUUAGAGCAAGGGUUUCAGAGGGCACCUCACUCUCUCACCAUAGAGGCCAGCACAAAGCCUGAACAAAGUGAGGGCAGCUGCCAUAGAAGCAAACCAGUCAGACACUCGAGGAGAUGGGGUAGUGGUACCCGAUUGAAGGGUCAGUGUAGAGACCCACCAUGAGGGUGGGGGAGGCACCUUGGCAACCCUCAAGUUGCCCACCCAUCAGAGACAGCCAACACUUCUUAAUAUCCCUGUUAAAAAUACAGAGAGGCAGGGGUUUUGAUAACACCAGCCCAUAUUAGCUCUUUAUUUCCUUCUCUAUGAUAUUCCCAAGGCCUAAAAAAGUGACUAAGUUAGCAAAUAAGUAAAUAACCACUUUGGCCAAAAAGGUGUUUAAGAUGAUUACAGUGAAUUUAAUUUAAGAAUUAAUUUUAAUUUAAGAACAUUUAAUUCUUAAAUUAAAUAUUAAUAAAAGGAUGCCACACUUUGCCCCAGGAAUAGGCCAGGAUGCCAAGACCCAAGACCACGCCAGGAGCAUGUACUCUGACCAAUGAGGGCUCAGACACUAAGCCCAGUGGUCUCUGAAGCAGCUACCAAGAGGAAAUCGUAACCCAAAUAUUGACAGAAAUCCCAGAGCCAUCACGAUGGGGAUGAGAGUGCUGAGGGACCUAGAAGACACAGCAUUGGGUAAUCAAGGAGAUUUCUUUAGAGGUAGGAGCAGAUGUGAGACCAUGAAGAGCUGACCAAUACCCCAGACUUUAGGUCAAUGGCUUUCCUAAGGAGGGCAUCCCACUGAGCCAUUGAAAUGCUUGAGUGGAUCUCUUUACUGGGUGGACUUAUGUUCAGAAGGAAUCAGGAUGUUGAAGGUUUACCACGCAGCUGCUCUGGAGCUGAGAUCACGAUCCAGCAUCCAAAGAUAAAGCAGGUAGUGCCUGGACAUGUCCCUGGACUCAGUCCUGUCCCCUGUGAUGCACCAAACAAUGAGACUAGGACCCAACUGGGCCUUCACUUGACCAAUGGAUGAUAUAUAGAUCUCACACUGUUUCAUGAAAGAGUCAAAUAUACAAAGCAACACCCAAAGGAGCCAAGAAAUCAAAGAAUAAGGCAGACAAACCCAAUUUGUCAGUAGAGGGUGAUUUAUUGGGAACUUAUGGACAGAAGCAUGGUCUUGGGCAGCAGCAAGACAGGUAGACCUCUGCACUGUUACCCCCAAGACCCAGGGCUUAUAUACUACAGAAAUAGGAUCUAUAUAUUCAAUAAGGAAUGUGCAGCACAAUUAAAGUCAACCUUCCAGGAAAAGACAAGAAUGCUACGUACAUCAUAGUCUGUAAUUUAUGCAAAACAUCAAGGUUGUUUCCACCUGAGGCAGGAAAUACUAGCUCUUAAAUGAGGAAUAGUGGAUAAAAAUAGAAAUUUUAGAGGCAUUCACAGACCUGGGGUUAAUCAGAAGUCAACAUGAUGGAUUAGCAUGCAAAAGCAUGCAAGUUGGAGUUGCUUCAACCUACACACACACUGAUAUAUUAGUGUGAGCAACAACAUGCCAGAUAGGGCGGUACAUAUGCAAACAGUAGAACACUGCCAGAAGAGACCAUUGCACGUCAGAACAUCACCAGGUUGUUUGAGGGGAUGCUGCAGUUACCACUGGAGGCCUUGCCAGUGACCACGUCCCGGCAUGUGGGAAAUGGCAACUUCUGCUCUGAUCAAGGAACUCAACUUAUCAUCCUCGAUGUGCAGGAUUGCCCCCCAUCUCGGGACACAACCUGAACUUUCUCCCCAGUAUACCAUCUGUAGCAGGCAGCAGGGUAAGUAAAAGAUGCAGUACUUCAAGAGACACAGACACACACCAGCACCCCAAUCUAAGCCGGAAAACAUAUUUUCUACAAAAGCAGGAGGAGCAGACAAGAGCCAUAAGUAGGUAGGAAGGGGGAUCAAUUCACCUUUCCUUAGUGGCAGCUCAGAAUGGGGAGUGGGUGUGGGCUGGAUGUGGACAUUACCCCCUUUUUUUUCAUUACCCCCUUGCUUUUCUUCACUUCCACAGCAGUGACUAUAGAAUCUGUGAAAGUGGGGCUCACACCACAUCUAAGGGAAUAGCACACUCUGGACAGACAGCAUCCCAUAAUCUCGAAGUCACCUUCCCUCUAGAAUGGUCUGGGAGAAUCUUGAAACCCAGCCCUGCCAAGGGAAGGAUGGGGGGACAUGUCAAUGACAAACAAAGCCGGACACUAGUAAAUGACAAGGACAGAUUUUUGCCAGUAAUGCACUAUUGCAAUCAGAAAAGGAGUCCAGCAUGAGCUGAUUUUGAUUUGUGCAGAGGUGACUGGGUGCUUUCAAGGGAGAAUGAGGGGGCCAGGUAUGGUGGCUCAUGCCUGUAAUCCCAGCACUGGGAGGCCGAGAUGGUCGGAUCACUGGAGAUCAAGAGAUUGAGACCAGCCUGGCCAACAUUUUUUUUUCAUCUCUACCAAAAAAAAAAACAAAAAACAAAAAUUAGCCAGCUGUGGUGACACAGCCUGUAGUCCCAGCUACUCAGGAGGCUGAGGUGGAAGAAUCGCUUGAACCUGGGAGGCAGAGGUUGCAGUGAGCCGAGAUCCCAUCACUGCACUCCAGUCUGGGCAAUAGAGCAAGACUCCAUCUCAAAUA
rnacentral:lncRNA from 1 species